CUCAUCAUUUCAUCUCAUCACAUCUCAUCAUUUCAUCAUUUUAUUUCAUCAUCUCAUCUUAUUUCAUCUCAUCUCAUUUCAAUUUUAUUUCAAUUUCAUUUCAUUAUUUCAUUUCAUUUCAUCUCAUCAGUUCAUCUCAUCAUUUCAUCUCAUCAUCUCAUCUCAUCAUUUCAUCUCAUCAUUUCAUCAUUUCAUCUCAUUUCAACUCAUUGCAUCUCAUCUCAUCAUUUCCGUUUCACUAU
rnacentral:lncRNA from 1 species